CCUACGGGAGCAGCAGUGGGGAAUAUUGGACAAUGGGCGAAAGCCUGAUCCAGCCAUGCCGCGUGUGUGAAGAAGGCCUUCGGGUUGUAAAGCACUUUCAGUGGGGAAGAAAGCCUUGGGGCUAAUACCCUCGAGGAAGGACAUCACCCACAGAAGAAGCACCGGCUAACUCCGUGCCAGCAGCCGCGGUAAUACGGAGGGUGCGAGCGUUAAUCGGAAUUACUGGGCGUAAAGCGCGCGUAGGCGGUCUGAUAAGCCGGUUGUGAAAGCCCCGGGCUCAACCUGGGAACGGCAUCCGGAACUGUCAGGCUAGAGUGCAGGAGAGGAAGGUAGAAUUCCCGGUGUAGCGGUGAAAUGCGUAGAGAUCGGGAGGAAUACCAGUGGCGAAGGCGGCCUUCUGGACUGACACUGACGCUGAGGUGCGAAAGCGUGGGUAGCAAACAGGAUUAGAUACCCUAGUAGUC
rnacentral:rRNA from 1 species